UCUCAGCCAUGUUACAAAGGAGAGGCCUGAUGAAGGAGCUGCAUCUGAUACUGCGGCGAGAGAAAGGAUCCCUGUCCCCAGCUCCGGGAGUUCAGAUUCACGGUGAGGCUCUGAAGAAUGCUGAGUAUUUCCUGUACUUUGGAAGCCAUCUCUCACGGAAAGCUGACAUCAAAGAAGAAAUUAAACAAGUGCAGGCUUUGGAUGCCUGAAGAAACGGGCAUUCAAAGAUCACACCAGAUUCAAAACCAUGGUUUAUCGAGCAGUUGUGAUCUCUAUCUUGCUGUGCAGAGCUGAGACGCCUCAAGUGACUAGAGAAGGACCAUCCACAUUGCCCAUGAAAGAUCCUUUGAAUCCAGUGGGAAGAGAAGUGCACCAGCGUUACUAUCUUCUAGCAAGCAAACACCAUGAACAACAAGCUCAGUCCAGGUGAUUGCUCAAGAGGAGGCACAGAAGGCAAAAUCAUCCUCAAGGCCAACUUGAAAAAAAUGCAACAUUGACAUCAACUAGUGGGAAAUUAUCAUC